UCCAGGUCAGGAGCUGUCACAGGUGCUGCAUGGCUGUCGUCAGCUCGUGCCGUGAGGUGUUCGGGUUAAGUCCCGCAACGAGCGCAACCCUUGUCCUAUGUUAAAUUCUCAUGGGAUACUGCCUUGUAUAGGCAAAGGAGGAAGGAAAGGAUGACGUCAAGUCAGCAUGGCCUUUAUGUCCUGGGCUACACACACGCUACAAUGGGUGAUACAGAGGGUUGCCAAGGAGCGAUCCGGAGCUAAUCCUUCAAAAAUCAUCCUCAGUUCGGAUUGCAGGCUGAAAUCGCCUGCAUGAAGUCGGAGUUGCUAGUAACCGCAGGUCAGCUAUACUGCGGUGAAUACGUUCUCGGGCCUU
rnacentral:rRNA from 1 species